GACGUAGGGCGCGAGCGUUGUCCGGAUUUAUUGGGCGUAAAGAGCUCGUAGGCGGCUUGUUGCGUCGACUGUGAAAACCCGCGGCUUAACUGCGGGCUUGCAGUUGAUACGGGCAGGCUAGAGUUCGGUAGGGGAGACUGGAAUUCCUGGUGUAGCGGUGAAAUGCGCAGAUAUCAGGAGGAACACCGGUGGCGAAGGCGGGACUCUGGGCCGAUACUGACGCUGAGGAGCGAAAGCGUGGGGAGCAAACAGG
rnacentral:rRNA from 1 species